GAUGGUUUAGUGAGAUCUUCGGAUUGUGGCCGCGGGGGCUUCCGGUCUCUGCGGAUUACGAGAAGUUGAUCAAACUUGAUCAUUUAGAGGAAGUAAAAGUCGUAACAAGGUUUCCGUAGGUGAACCUGCGGAAGGAUCAUUAACGAAUCCAAACUCCUCCUUGCGGAGAGAAUCACUGUGCACCUGGUUCCCGUACACCUCCUUUCGGGGUUGACUCCUCCGCGGAGCCAUUAAAUCGGAAUGCUUUGGCGCCCGGCGGCGGCACAAACCGCCUCUGGGUUGGGAGCCGAGGCUGUGUUCCGGGCCCCGAUCGGAUCGUGUGUGCGGGUGUUGUUUCACCGCGUGCUGCGCGAGAACGCAAGCACGCAUGCGAUUUUUUUUAUCAAACAAGCAAAUUUGCAGGCUGAACUGUGCGAAAAGCGAAAGCUUGUCUCACUGAGAUGCAUUUGUAAUGAAUGUUGCAGGGACAACUUUCAACGGUGGAUCUCUUGGCUCGUGGAUCGAUGAAGAACGCAGCAAAACGCGAUAUGUAGUGUGAAUUGCAGAAUUCAGUGAAUCAUCGAAUCUUUGAACGCAAAUGGCGCUCCUGGGUAUUCCCAGGAGCAUGUCUGUCUCAGUGUCGUUUUCACCUCGAGCGCGCUGUGGCGCGGAGGUCUUGAGGCGUCUGAGUGAGUGAGAAAGUCUCAGUCAGUCCCUUGAAAUGCAGUGGCCGGACAGUAACUUGCGCGCUGCGCACCGGGUCGGUUCGCCCCGGAUCUGCUCGCACGGCUGAUUGCCCGAAUUUAUUCGGCGUCGUGUUGCAGCAACCGGAAUGCGCGAGCUUUUCAGACGAAUGUGCCAGCCGUUACUUGUCCGCAAAGCCAGCUCUGGAAUAUGCGUGUUUUCGCCCUAUCUCGGACGGAGACAUCUUUGACCUGAGAUCAGGCAAGACUACCCGCUGAAUUUAAGCAUAUUAAUAA
rnacentral:misc_RNA from 1 species